UGCUUUGAUGAAGUUUUCGGAUGGAUUUAAAACAGCUUAGUGGCGGACGGGUGAGUAACGCGUGGGUAACCUGCCUCACACUGGGGGAUAACAGUUGGAAACGGCUGCUAAUACCGCAUAAGCGCACGGUACCGCAUGGUACAGUGUGAAAAACUCCGGUGGUGUGAGAUGGACCCGCGUCUGAUUAGCCAGUUGGCGGGGUAACGGCCCACCAAGGCGACGAUCAGUAGCCGACCUGAGAGGGUGAUCGGCCACAUUGGGACUGAGACACGGCCCAAACUCC
rnacentral:rRNA from 1 species